UUCCUUUUCCGAAACUGGGUUUUCUCCUAAGUUACAUACAUACAUACAUACAUACAUACAUACAUACAUACAUACAUACAUACAUACACAAACAAACCUUAGACUUGAGUUAGUAGUUCGAGCGGUUGAUGAAUAUGUAUGAGAACCCGGCUGUUUAAGGAGCGUGAAUAAACAUGAGCGGGUGUAUCCUCUCGCUAAGCAUCGCCAGCUCGGAGGGAACAGAGUCCCUGCAACUUCGCUUAUUCCGGAUUGCCGCGGUGCUGAGCCGGCCGCCUGAGCUUGAGCGAGUCUCUGUGCGCCCCGCACUUGGCACACACCCCAAGGGGCACGGAUCAGUGCACGCUGGCUCCCGGAUCUUCGGAUACAGUUUUCUUUCUCCCAAGUUUUGAGCCCAUGUUACAAUAAAGAAAGAGUUGCUGAGCAGAGGCACCCAAUCUAUGUUUCCUGCCAUCAAAGCCACCUGAAAAAGCGGGGGUAAAAGCGUCCAUCUGUGCAUCUCAGGGAGCAGGGUGUGUUCCCGCAAGGCGCUUGUUUUCCGUUGUCUGUGGACCCAUGAAUGUCCACGAAGGAUAAUCGCCCACCAUUAACCUUCCCAAACCCUCGUCUUCUCCCGCAGGGGAAAAGGCCCUGGUGUGUGCCCAUCCUGAAGUCACUGCGCCUUGGUCUUUGGAACCUAUGAGACAAGAGCAAGCCUUGGCAGCUUCCCUCAGCCUCAACGUCUCCGUGUCUCUCGUGAACACACUUUUGGUAACUUACGUGGAUUACAUCGAGUGCCUCAGCUCCUGCUUAGAUCUGAGAGUCAGACUGCGGAAGUCUCAGUGUGGCCUUGGACCAGGUCUGGCAGAACCAACCAGAUAAAACCCGCAGCAGGCCUUUGGGCCUUCAAACUUCUCCUGCCACAAAAGCUCCACCAGCCCAAGUUCUUGGCCUGCAGGGUCAGGCUGUGUGUGUACCCUGCAGGCAAGCAAGCGAUUUGCAGAAGGUCCUCCUCAGCUCCAGUUGGGCUGGUGGGAUGCGCUUCCCUGCGGGGCGUCUACUUUUUCUUCCAUAAUUCAAUCUACUAGGCAAAAGAACAUGCUAAUGAACCCAGCAGAAAGCCUUGAGUGGUUUAAGAUGAACAACUUGAGAAGGAGGCCUGUGUCUUGCUGGCCUUGGAAUCCUUCCUGGCUGUACUGAAGAACCAGCAAGGGCCCCAGCUCCUACAUUUACUCUCCAGUGUCCCCUCUGGUGGGCAUUCGUCAUCCCUUCCACCACACAGCUACCCACCAUCUAACCUUUGGCUGUUUUUCUCCUGUAACCCCGAAGAAGAGACAAUUCCUACUUAGAGAAGGGCAGCCUCUCCAACCCUGGAGAACCUCCCAGACGGUUUCCAGAAAUCCUCUUUCUGCAGGUCACGCCUUUGUGUGAUCCUUCUAUCCUGUGUUAGAGACAGCAGUGCCUGCUGAGCCUGCCAGAUCAGGUUAUAAAAAUAGUGACCCUCCCCUACCUCCAGACUCCCUCCCUCCACCCCACCCCCAGCACUUCCUCCAAGCUGCCAUUUUGUGAAUGGUUCUGUGGAGAAACUUGGAAGACAAGGAGCUGGCAAAGGCAGCUAAGGGACUGAACCGGAAGUCCUCCUCUCCCUACCCCGAGACAACAGCAUCUGCCCGCCCGAGGUUUUGCUUAGGAAGGAUUCUGGGCCACAGGCGCUCAACGAGAAUCCUCAUGUACUGGCUGGUUUUGUGUGUCAACUUGACGCAAGCUGGAGUUAUCACAGAAAGGAGCCUCCCUUGAGGAAAUGCCUCCAUGAGAUCCAACUGUAAGGCAUUUUCUCAGUUAGUCAUCAAGGGUGGGAGGGCUCAUUGUGGGUGGUGCCAUCCAUGGGCUGGUAGUCCUGGGUUCUAUAAGAAAGCAAGCUGAACAAGCCAGGGGAAGCAAGCCAGUAAGCAGCAUCCCUCCAGGGCCUCUGCAUCAGCUCCUGCCUCCAAGUUCCUGCCCUGUGUGAGUUCUGGUCCUGACUUUCUUUGGUGAUGAACAGCAAUGUGAAAGUGUAAUCUGAAUAAACCCUUUCCUCUCCAACUUGCUUCCCCAACUGGUCAUGAUGUUUGUGCAGGAAUAGAAACCCUAAGACACCUCACAAUACCCCUUCUAUGUAAGUAACCCCAAUAAAACUUGUGGUUUACCAAAUUGGACUUCGUGGUAGCCAUACUUUGGUCUGUCAUAGGCUUCUUAUCUAGGGUGAAUAGUAUAACAUCUCCCCAGGAAAAGUUUUGUUACACAGUGGGUAUCCAGUGAGCCACAUACAGUAUUGCAAUGGGAGAGGACUUUGUGCAUGCCAGACAGCCUCUCAGUAAAGCAACUUAGGGCGGCUAAUCUACCAUUGCCUGUCUACCGUGCAAGUGCACACCU
rnacentral:lncRNA from 1 species